rnacentral:rRNA from 1 species
AGUCGAACGAUGAUCCCAGCUUGCUGGGGGAUUAGUGGCGAACGGGUGAGUAACACGUGAGUAACCUGCCCUUGACUCUGGGAUAAGCCUGGGAAACUGGGUCUAAUACCGGAUACGACCAUCCCGCGCAUGUCAUGGUGGUGGAAAGCUUUUGUGGUUUUGGAUGGACUCGCGGCCUAUCAGCUUGUUGGUGGGGUAAUGGCCUACCAAGGCGACGACGGGUAGCCGGCCUGAGAGGGUGACCGGCCACACUGGGACUGAGACACGGCCCAGACUCCUACGGGAGGCAGCAGUGGGGAAUAUUGCACAAUGGGCGCAAGCCUGAUGCAGCGACGCCGCGUGAGGGAUGACGGCCUUCGGGUUGUAAACCUCUUUCAGUAGGGAAGAAGCGAAAGUGACGGUACCUGCAGAAGAAGCGCCGGCUAACUACGUGCCAGCAGCCGCGGUAAUACGUAGGGCGCAAGCGUUAUCCGGAAUUAUUGGGCGUAAAGAGCUCGUAGGCGGUUUGUCGCGUCUGCUGUGAAAGACCGGGGCUCAACUCCGGUUCUGCAGUGGGUACGGGCAGACUAGAGUGCAGUAGGGGAGACUGGAAUUCCUGGUGUAGCGGUGAAAUGCGCAGAUAUCAGGAGGAACACCGAUGGCGAAGGCAGGUCUCUGGGCUGUAACUGACGCUGAGGAGCGAAAGCAUGGGGAGCGAACAGGAUUAGAUACCCUGGUAGUCCAUGCCGUAAACGUUGGGCACUAGGUGUGGGGGGACAUUCCACGUUUUCCGCGCCGUAGCUAACGCAUUAAGUGCCCCGCCUGGGG